GACGAACGCUGGCGGCGUGCUUAACACAUGCAAGUCGUACGGUAAGGCCCUUUCGGGGGUACACGAGUGGCGAACGGGUGAGUAACACGUGAGUAACCUGCCCACAACUUUGGGAUAACGCUAGGAAACUGGUGCUAAUACUGGAUAUGUGCUCCUGCUGCAUGGUGGGGGUUGGAAAGCUCCGGCGGUUGUGGAUGGACUCGCGGCCUAUCAGCUUGUUGGUGGGGUAGUGGCCUACCAAGGCGGCGACGGGUAGCCGGCCUGAGAGGGUGACCGGCCACAUUGGGACUGAGAUACGGCCCAGACUCCUACGGGAGGCAGCAGUGGGGAAUAUUGCACAAUGGGCGCAAGCCGGAUGCAGCAACGCCGCGUGCGGGAUGACGGCCUUCGGGUUGUAAACCGCUUUCAGCAGGGACGAAGCUUUUUGUGACGGUACCUUCAGAAGAAGCACCGGCUAACUACGUG
rnacentral:rRNA from 1 species